rnacentral:lncRNA from 1 species
GUCCUCGCGCGUGUGUCUGCCGUCGCCUCCUCCUCGCGGAGCGGAGGGGCUCCCACUUGUGAAACGGCCAGCACGCGCGAGGCGCCCCGCCGCAGCCGGACCCGGACGGGCUGCUGUGCAUGUGCUGUCCUCCCCUUUUUCUAAAUUUUUUUUAAAAAUUUAUUUAUUUCCAGUUUAUUCUGGGCCUGUGUGGAAUAGAAAGACAGUUCUCUGCCUGACUGGAGGAGAGAAAAGAGAAGACUCCUCGGGGUUUCCAAGGAGCAAUGGAGCGGCUGCUUCAGAUGUAAAAGAUAGAGGGAACCACAGAAAAAAAUCAUUUCAUCUGUUUCGCAUUGUAAAGAGGAAAUGGAGGACUUCAACUGUGAAAAAACACAAAGCUAAGAAUCAUCCUUCCAUUUUUACACUGAGGUUUUCAUAUACCAAUUUGGUUGUAUUUGGCAAGAAAAUACAGACAGUGCUUUCAACACCUGUGAGUGCAUUGUCAAUAACUCCACUGAUGGUGUGGCACACAAUGUACUUCUCUAAAGAAAUCUAAUUAUAGAAAAUGGAAAUAAUGUAUCAAGAGUAUCCGUAUAACAAAGAUCCUCAAAUUGAAUAUAUGCAAAAUUCGCUCAAUUUUUUAAUACAUUAAUACAAUUGGAGGUAGGAUCCAGAGAUCUUUAUUUUUUACAAACUUUCAUGUUAUUAGAAUUCACAUGAUUUUGAAGUUCAUUCUCAUGUCUAUAGUAUCUUCCCUGAGCAAGAAAAGAAGUCAAAAAUGUAAACUUUGAGGAUGUUCCAGUUAAAAAAUCAUCUGAAAUUUUCUUUUACCUUUUUUCCAUGACUUAAGAAAAAGAAAAUCAUAUCCAACUUAGGAACCAGCAACUGAAGAAAUAUGCACCACCAUCCAUUGGGUUCAGGACAAACAUGUUAGUACUCGUGCUCAUCUCUGCCUUAAAGCGAUGAUUGUGGAAAUAAACUUUGGUCAUAAUUACUGUGCCCACU